AAAACUGAAACAAUCUUUCACGGGUCCAAAGUUUCGCUUUAAAAAAUUCGUGCGACUUCAAAAAUUCGGUAUGUUCAAUAACCACAGGUAAGUCAGAUUUUGAUUUUUUGUAAGGAGAAAGAAGCAUGAUAAGCAUGAAAAGUAGUUGUAAGAUAAUCAAACAAGAUUUGGUAAAAAAAAUCAACAAAAUGAGUGUUGCGUUUCUAAAGUCGUUCAGUAUAU
rnacentral:lncRNA from 1 species